rnacentral:rRNA from 1 species
CCUACGGGUGGCAGCAGUCGAGAAUCAUUCACAAUGGGGGAAACCCUGAUGGUGCGACGCCGCGUGGGGGAAUGAAGGUCUUCGGAUUGUAAACCCCUGUCAUGUGGGAGCAAAUUAAAAAGAUAGUACCACAAGAGGAAGAGACGGCUAACUCUGUGCCAGCAGCCGCGGUAAUACAGAGGUCUCAAGCGUUGUUCGGAAUCACUGGGCGUAAGGCGUGCGUAGGCUGUUUCGUAAGUCGUGUGUGAAAGGCGCGGGCUCAACCCGCGGACGGCACAUGAUACUGCGAGACUAGAGUAAUGGAGGGGGAACCGGAAUUCUCGGUGUAGCAGUGAAAUGCGUAGAUAUCGAGAGGAACACUCGUGGUGAAGGCGGGUUCCUGGACAUUAACUGACGCUGAGGCACGAAGGCCAGGGGAGCGAAAGGGAUUAGAUACCCCGGUAGUC